CAAGCACAAGCCCAAAUGCAAGCCCACCAAAGAGUAGAUUUGGGCUAACCACUAGAGUUAUGGCCAAGAAGAUUCAAGAAGAUUGAAAUGCUGCUACUGAUGGCAGAGAAACCUUCUUAUACAUGUUCAAAAUAUGCCAUAAACUCUAGUGUAGAGUAGAAUUUAAUUUCUUGUCAAAAUUAGCAUAGGAACUUUAUUUGUAAUUUUGUUUAAAAUGAAGUUUG
rnacentral:lncRNA from 1 species